AGGAAGUGGGGUGAGAGAGUGACGUGUGGUGGCCCGAGAGCCGGCCUACCAAUGACAGAGCGGCGAGACACGGCGAGAACCAACAGGAGCGGAGUGAGAGGUUCUCCACCCAAUUGGAGCCGUGUCCACACCUUCUAGGGCCCACUGCUGAGCUGAUGGAAGAACAAGAAGAGUCUGGAUACCUGGGUACCAGCCUGCCCGUAGGCAAGUCAUUUUACCCCAUAAGUCUCUGGUUUCCUCAUCCAUAAAGUGAAACAUCAAUACAAAGCUCACAGAAUUGCUGGUGCCCUAGUAAAGAACCUGGAAGGGUAGAAGGAAAGUUUUUUCCUCCGCUACAUCACAGCAUUACCUUACAGUGUUUGAAGAGGCAGUUCCUCUGCAAAGGAACCGUUCAAAAAUGUGGAUCUAAAUAAUAAAGAAAAUGUUUAUAAAUUUACAUAUAUAAUUUGCUUAGAAACUAAAAAAAAUGCAUGCAACUCAGGUUAAAGAUGAAAUCAUAAAAUAUUUAUUCUGGAAAAUAAUGGA